rnacentral:rRNA from 1 species
GACGAACGCUGGCGGCGUGCUUAACACAUGCAAGUCGAACGGAAGGCCCUGCUUUUGUGGGGUGCUCGAGUGGCGAACGGGUGAGUAACACGUGAGUAACCUGCCCUUGACUUUGGGAUAACUUCAGGAAACUGGGGCUACUACCGGAUAGGAGCUCCUGCUGCAUGGUGGGGGUUGGAAAGUUUCGGCGGUUGGGGAUGGACUCGCGGCUUAUCAGCUUGUUGGUGGGGUAGUGGCUUACCAAGGCUUUGACGGGUAGCCGGCCUGAGAGGGUGACCGGCCACAUUGGGACUGAGAUACGGCCCAGACUCCUACGGGAGGCAGCAGUGGGGAAUAUUGCACAAUGGGCGGAAGCCUGAUGCAGCAACGCCGCGUGCGGGAUGACGGCCUUCGGGUUGUAAACCGCUUUCGCCUGUGACGAAGCGUGAGUGACGGUAAUGGGUAAAGAAGCACCGGCUAACUACGUG